AUGAGCCUGACUCCAUCGCUCAUGAAAGGAUAAAAAGGUCCUGGCUUGUGCCAAGUAGACACCUGUCAUUCAUUUCAAUGAGUGCGAAACUUAUUCAAUAGUUCUGGCGUUUUGGGCGUUUAUUAUCCGAUUGGAAAAAAGGAAAACUUCACGCUGAAUUCGCAGAGAAUUCUUUGCGAUCUUGGAUGUCAGCCACAAUCAACUAGCAGGAACUAGCAUAAAAGGCCUUUUGGACCGGGGUUCGUCAAAAGUAACUUUCUUUGGUGUUCUUAUCAACUUCUGUACAAAUAGUCAAAAAUAACUAUAACAUCACGUAAGCCGAAGAGGGAGUAUGAAUAAGUUCAGUUAGGGCAGGUGACGUAUUUAUAAAAUCGUAUCAUAGUGUGGACACCCUGUCAAACAAUCAACUUAAAUUAUGCAAAAUCACAUAGAUCGCAAUUACAAUCUAAAUUGUUAGUAAUGAA
rnacentral:lncRNA from 1 species